rnacentral:lncRNA from 1 species
AAAAAAAGGUGUCAUGACUCUGGCAGUUCCAAAGUGACACAAAUCACUGUAGCGUGCUGGGGCCUGGCUUGUGCCUACCGAGCUGCAAUUGAUGCUACUAGCAACCUAGCUCCAGCUCCAGCUCCUGCAGCCGCUCCAGUUCCAGCUCCUGCAGCUGCUCCAGUUCCAGCUCCUGCAGCUGCUCCAGUUCCAGCUCCCGCAGCCGCUCCAGUUCCAGCUCCCGCAGCUGCUCCCGUUCCAGCUCCUGCAGCCACUCCAGCUCCAGUUCCAGCUCCCGCAGCCCCCUCCAGCCCCUGCAGCAGCUCCGGCUCCUGCAGCUGCUCCAGUUCCAGCUCCCGCAGCCACUCCAGCUCCUGCAGCAGCUCCGGCUCCUGCAGCUGCUCCCACUCCUGUGUCUGGGUCAGAGAA